GUAAACUAAAUUUUGUAAACUAAACAAUAUAGAAGUUGAUGAUUAAAUUAUUACUUAAGUAUUGAUUAACGUGCUUAUUUCUUAUUGGUGACACAUCAUUUAGUUUGUAAAUUUACUCUACAAAUUUAAUCUUCCUAGCAUUACUCUUAUAAAAAAAAAAAGUUGUGACAAGUGGCAAUAGAAUGUCUUGCAAUGAUCAUGGUUUAUCAAUUCCUCUGAAGUUUGGAACCAUUAUUCUAGGCAAAGCAAAAUUUUAAGAAGAGAAAUGCUAUCGAGAUUUUCUCAAAAUGAGAUUUUCCAUAAAUUCUCUGUGACUCUACAAUUUAAAUUAAUUCUCAUGCCAAUGUUAUAAACAUUGCUUUCAAAUUUUCAAAGAUCUCUUUGUUGCUUCUCACUUUUUUUAUGAAAUUAUGAGAGCAUAUACAAAAUCACCGUAUAAUCUCAAAGCAUCUUUUAACAGUAAAUCUAACAAACUCAAUCAUCUCAUGUGAUAUGAUGAACCACAAUAAGAAUUCCAAUUUGAUACUUGGUGUAACAUGCGAUAAGAAAUUUGGUAGAAGGAUCGAUGUUGUAUUUACUAAUUCAUAGUAGAGUCAAACUAAAGAGUUGGAUCACAAUUUCCAAUCUCGAAAGUAUAAGACUUAUGUACUACCAAUAACCAUGAAUGAUCCAACUACUUAUAUUGGUGGAGUUGGAUUCUUUGCAAAAAGUGGUAUUUCAAAUUCGAUAGAAAAGAAGAAAUGAGAAAUACACAAUUGUUUUUCACUACGCGCUCGCCGCUCACAUAACUUUUAAAAUUCCCAAUUAUUGUUGAUUAACAUAUAAAAUGAUUUGUUAAAACAAGGAUAUCAUAACAAUCAUAUUAUUUUUCAUUGAGUUUAAGUAAAGGGAGAUUUUGGAUGCGGUUCUUAACUAUGAAUAUUCUUUGAUUGAAACAUUGUUGGUUUUUAAUUUUUGAUCGAGGUCCCUGAAAUUAAUGUGAUAAUUUGUUUCUAUGUACAUUACU
rnacentral:lncRNA from 1 species